CCUACGGGCGGCAGCAGUCGAGAAUCAUUCACAAUGGGGGAAACCCUGAUGGUGCGACGCCGCGUGGGGGAAUGAAGGUCUUCGGAUUGUAAACCCCUGUCAUGUGGGAGCAAAUUAAAAAGAUAGUACCACAAGAGGAAGAGACGGCUAACUCUGUGCCAGCAGCCGCGGUAAUACAGAGGUCUCAAGCGUUGUUCGGAAUCACUGGGCGUAAAGCGUGCGUAGGCUGUUUCGUAAGUCGUGUGUGAAAGGCGCGGGCUCAACCCGCGGACGGCACAUGAUACUGCGAGACUAGAGUAAGGGAGGGGGAACCGGAAUUCGCGGUGUAGCAGUGAAAUGCGUAGAUAGCGAGAGGAACACUCGUGGCGAAGGCGGGUUCCUGGACAUUAACUGACGCUGAGGCACGAAGGCCAGGGGAGCGAAAGGGAUUAGAUACCCCUGUAGUC
rnacentral:rRNA from 1 species